UGGGGAAUUUUGGACAAUGGGGGCAACCCUGAUCCAGCCAUGCCGCGUGCGGGAAGAAGGCCUUCGGGUUGUAAACCGCUUUUAGUCGGGAAGAAAAGGCGUCGUCUAAUAAACGGCGUUCUUGACGGUACCGGCGGAAUAAGCACCGGCUAACUACGUGCCAGCAGCCGCGGUAAUACGUAGGGUGCGAGCGUUAAUCGGAAUUACUGGGCGUAAAGCGUGCGCAGGCGGUUCGUUAAGUUCGAUGUGAAAGCCCCGGGCUCAACCUGGGAACUGCAUUGGAAACUGGCGAGCUUGAGUGUGGCAGAGGGGGGUGGAAUUCCGCGUGUAGCAGUGAAAUGCGUAGAGAUGCGGAGGAACACCGAUGGCGAAGGCAGCCCCCUGGGCCAACACUGACGCUCAGGCACGAAAGCGUGGGGAGCAAACAGG
rnacentral:rRNA from 1 species